rnacentral:rRNA from 1 species
CCUACGGGUGGCAGCAGUGGGGGAUAUUGCACAAUGGGGGGAACCCUGAUGCAGCGACGCAGCGUGGGUGAAGAAGGGCCUCGGCGCGUAAAGCCCUGUCAGCAGGGAAGAAAAUGACGGUACCUGAAGAAGAAGCCCCGGAGAACUACGUGCCAGCAGCGGCGGUAAUACGUAGGGGGCAAGCGUUAUCCGGAUUUACUGGGUGUAAAGGGGGCGGAGACGGCGCUGCAAGCCAGGAGUGAAAGCCCGGGGCCCAACCCCGGGACUGCUCUUGGAACUGCGUGGCUGGAGUGCAGGAUGGGCAGGCGGAAUUCCUGGUGUGGCGGUGAACUGCGUAGAUAUCAGGAGGAACCCCGGUGGCGAAGGCGGCCUGCUGGACUGCAACUGACGUUGAGGCCCGAAUGCGUGGGGCGCAAACAGGCUUCGCUACCCGGUAGUC